UGAAUUCAGUUAUUGGAGGCAUUGCCUGCCAGUGACACACUGUUUACGGCCGCGGUAUCCUAGACCGUGCAAGGUAGCAUAAUCACUUGUUCCCUAAAUAGGGACUUGUAUGAAUGGCUCCACGAGGGUUCAGCUGUCUCUUACUUUUAACCAGUGAAAUUGACCUGCCCGUGAAGAGGCGGGCAUGACACAGCAAGACGAGAAGACCCUAUGGAGCUUUAAUUUAUUAAUGCAAACAGUACCUAACAAACCCACAGGGCCUAAACUACCAAACCUGGAUUAGAAAUUUCGGUUGGGGCGACCUCCGAACAAAACCCAACCUCCGAACAGAACAUGCUAAGACUUCCCCAGUCAAAGCGAACUACUAUACUCAAUUGAUCCAAUAACUUGACCAACGGAACAAGUUACCCUAGGGAUAACAGCGCAAUCCUAUUCUAAAGUCCAUAUCAACAAUAGGGUUUACAACCUCAAUGUUGGAUCAGGACAUCCCAAUGGUGCACCCGCUAUUAAAGGUUCGUUUGUUCAACAAUUAAAGUCCUACUUGAUCUGAGUUCAAACCGGA
rnacentral:rRNA from 1 species